GACGAACGCUGGCGGCGUGCUUAACACAUGCAAGUCGAACGGUGAAGCGCCUUCCUUUUUGGUGGGUGUGGAUGAGUGGCGAACGGGUGAGUAACACGUGAGUAACCUGCCCCCUUCUUCUGGAUAACCGCAUGAAAGUGUGGCUAAUACGGGAUAUUCUGGGUCUGUCGCAUGAUGGGUCUGGGAAAGAUAUUGUUUCGGUGGGGGAUGGGCUCGCGGCCUAUCAGCUUGUUGGUGGGGUGAUGGCCUACCAAGGCGGUGACGGGUAGCCGGCCUGGGAGGGUGGACGGUCACACUGGGACUGAGACACGGCCCAGACUCCUACGGGAGGCAGCAGUGGAGGGUAUUGCACAAUGGGCGAAAGCCUGAUGCAGCGACGCCGCGUAAGGGAUGGCGGCCUUCGGGUUGUGAACCUCUUUCGCCAGUGAAGCAGGCCUGCCUCGUUUGUGGGUGGGUUGACGGUAGCUGGAUAAGAAGCGCCGGCUAACUACGUG
rnacentral:rRNA from 1 species